rnacentral:rRNA from 1 species
AGAAUCAACGCUGGCGGCGUGCCUAACACAUGCAAGUCGCACGAGAAAGGGGAGCAAUCCCUGAGUACAGUGGCGCACGGGUGAGUAACACGUGAAUGAUCUACCUCCGAGUGGGGAAUAACUGAGAGAAAUCUUAGCUAAUACCGCAUAAUACCCACGGGUCAAAGCAGUAAUGCGCUUGGAGAGGAGUUCGCGGCAGAUUAGUUAGUUGGCGGGGUAAUGGCCCACCAAGACGAUGAUCUGUAUCCGGCCUGAGAGGGCGCACGGACACACUGGAACUGAAACACGGUCCAGACUCCUACGGGAGGCAGCAGUGGGGAAUUUUGCGCAAUGGGGGAAACCCUGACGCAGCAACGCCGCGUGGAGGAUGAAGCCCCUUGGGGUGUAAACUCCUUUCGAUCGGGAAGAUAAUGACGGUACCGAUAUAAGAAGCCCGGCUAACUUCGCGCCAGCAGCCGC